UCCGCCACGCCUUGGCACCUCACUCGACACCCGUCGUACAACAGCUUGCUCCAUACUCCGAACUCUCCAAACGCCUCCGUCAGCUCCGCCGCGGGCGACACCGCGCCCAUCGUCUGCAACACUCUGUAGCUUUCGCCGUUGUCCGAUCCUGGCCCAGAUUGGUAUUCAGAGCCUUUUAAUCACUUACAUGUCCAAUCAAAUUGGAGAAUUGUUGAACUGCGUGAAUGACAACUGCAUAAGGAAAGUCCAUGCGGCCAAGUCGCGAGACUGAUUAUUUUAUGACAACAAAAUAUGAUAGCCGCCACUCUUGUUCAUCCGAUGCUAAAAAUGGCAGUUCAUUAGAUGCUAAAAAUGGCAGUCAACCACAAGCAAGCAGCUCUCUCAUUGGUGAGUUUGUAAAGUCAAAGUACAAGCGUGUUUUGUGCCAAUGCAAACCGAAAAAUAUCACUGAGGAUGUGCUGAAAGAUCUUGGAGUGGAUAUAAGUUAUCGACGGCUAGGAGGGUUUUUGAAUGUGCAUUGAAAGAUAUUAGGGUAUGACCACAAGAACUUUCUUCUAAAUGGAGGUCAUGCGAAAGGUGCAAGAAGGAAAGAAUUUCAUCUCAACCAAAAAAAAAAGUCUCAUGGAGAAGAACUGUCUACAAGGAAUUGUGGAAAAUGUGGCUCAACUGGUCAUUACCGUAAAACCUGCAACAACGCUAUUACUCUUCAUCUCAAUUUUGAAAGAGUGAUAAAUGGCGUGAAACAAGGUGGUUUAUGGCUUCAGCAACAGGUGAAGCAAAGUUACAUGCCCGCAGAGAAUUUGGUGCGACUAUUACCGGUGAUCCUGCUGGUUUAAUUGGACGUGUCAGUGAUAUGCAUCUAUUGGGGACACUUGAAAUGUUCACUUUAGUGUCUGCAUAUGGCCUGUUCUUUGAAGGGGACCAAUGGCCUGGCCCUUGCUGGAGCUUCUGUGGGAAAAUUGCUGUAUGCGAACUACGGCAUUGGCCCAUUGAUCUAUAUUUCAUAUUGAGAGAUUGCAGCAAAGCUCAAACCAUUUGGGAGACAUCAGAGUGGCAAACCAGUAUGUUACUCCUUUUAUUCAGAUUAUAAGGCCUGUAUGCUUGUAGUGUGAUAGUCUUGAAGGGAGUAGCCUGUUUAUCUGCACAUGUUGGUAUCUGUCGGAGGUUGGCUGGACGCCACUUCCCCUGUUCUCAAAAACCAAUUGGAAGUACAGGUCUUUCUGGCAUGGGAGCCUCCUGACAUGGGAUGUCAGAAUAUGAAUGUUGAUGCGCCGAGGAGAAUGGCAUCUGGUGGAUUUGGAGCAGGGAAAGUUAUUUAAUCCAAUCUUGUCAGGGGAUAUUGAAGCAGAAAUCUGGGGAUACAUUUUGGCUUGCAGUUUCCAAUUUAGAAGAAAAGCACUAAAAGAUGUAUUCAGAUGGACUUCGCUAUUAUUCUAAAAAUGAUGAAGCAAGAGAGAAGAAUGCAGUGGCAGAUGGGAUAGCAAAUGGAGCUAUAACACUUAUUUGGGAGUCUAAGUUCGACCACGUAAGCUUUCUUAUUGCUGUUUUUCCCCUGUAAAGAAUCGUGUUUAGAUCUUCAUUGCAUUUUUUUUAUGGAAUCGUUGCAGGAAUCUUACUGCUUCAUUUCUUUUUCUUUCUUUGUCGUCUGGAGGUUGUUCUGUUUAUCCGCAGAUUGCAGAUCAUGAUCAAGGAUGUUAAUGAGCAGUUGCAGUCUUCUGUCAAGACAAGCGAUAGCUUCUUUUUGGAAAUUUAUCCUAUGCGGCUGAGUAUGGCGAGAAUUGGGUGGGAGGAAAUUUUGCUCUCUCUCUCUCUCUCCCCCCAUCUCUCUCAUCACACGACAUGUCAGGUGAUGAGAGACAGAAAACUUUCUAUCUGCCUAUGUUAUCUUUCCAAAAUCAGCAAACCCAACAUGUGUUUUUCUUGGAAAUGUCUGCAAACUUGGGUCUGUUUUGCAAAGAAAGUAUCCGAUGCAGCAAGGAGGAUUAGGAAUCAUAGGAAUUGCAUUGUAGGAGGAUGAAAAAUGACAUGCCUCCAAACAACAAAUGCAGUGACGUGAAUUGGUUGGACUUCAAAGGGAUUGGGAGUCAAAAAAGCAAUGCUCAUUGCAUUGCCAUUAGCCCUCCAUCUCAUACCCUCAUUGAUUGUGUGAUGGUUAUGUGAUUUGGACCAAACCCAACCCAUCAAUACAAACUACACACCUCAAAAUAAAGUGUGGUGUUAUUUAGACACUUACUUUUACCUCUCA